CCUACGGGAGGCAGCAGUGGGGAAUAUUGGACAAUGGGCGCAAGCCUGACCCAGCAACGCCGCGUGAAGGAAGAAGGCUUUCGGGUUGUAAACUUCUUUUCUCAGGGACGAAGCAAGUGACGGUACCUGAGGAAUAAGCCACGGGUAACUACGUGCCAGCAGCCGCGGUAAUACGUAGGUGGCAAGCGUUAGCCGGAUUUACUGGGGGUAAAGGGGUUGUAGGCGGGAUUGCAAGUCAGAUGUGAAAACCACGGGCUAAACCUGUGGCCUGCAUUUGAAACUGUAGUGCUUGAGUUCUGGAGAGGAAGACGGAAUUCCUAGUGUAGCGGUGAAAUGCGUAGAUAUUAGGAGGAACACCAGUGGCGAAGGCGGUCUUCUGGACAGCAACUGACGCUGAGGCGCGAAAGCGUGGGGAGCAAACAGGAUUAGAUACCCUUGUAGUC
rnacentral:rRNA from 1 species